CCGCCCGUCUUCUCCGCCAGCAGCUUCCGCCUGCCGCAGUACCGGCACGCGCUCUGGGGUCCCGCCCCUUCCCAGGGAUAGUGACCGGGCGAGCGCGCGCCUCGCGGUACCGAAGACAUCUGAGCACGGGCCAGGGCUUCGGCACCAGAAGCGGGUUGUGAUGGGGAAGCAAACGUGUGGCAAGUUCUUUACAAAAAUUGCAUUUUUUUUUUUAAAUGCUGGAGAAGACCCUUGAGAGUCCCUUGGACAGCAAGAUCAAACCAGUCAAUCCUAAAGGAAAUCAACCGUGAAUAUUAACUGGAAGGACUAUGCUGAAGCUCCAAUAUUUUGGCCACCUGAUGUGAAGAGCUUACUCAUUGGAAAAGACCUUGAUGCUAGGAAAGAUUAAGGGCAGGAGGGAAAGGGGGUAACAGAAGAUGAGAUAGUUGGAUGGCAUCACCAACUCAAUGGACAUGAGUUUGAGAAACUCCAGGAGAUGGUGAAGGACAGGGAAGCCUGGCAUACUGCAGUUCAUAGAAUUGCAAGUAGUCAGAUACAGCUUAGCGACUGAAAAACAAUGGUGACCUCCAAGAGGGCUCACACUAAGGGGCACUUCCUGGGACUGCUGCUGCUAGUGCCCCCAUCCCUGCAGCGAGCCACUGCUGACCCACGACUCCGCAGGAGUUCAUCGAACACUAGAUGGUUGGUCUGGUUCAGUCUCCUGUGGGGUCACUGCUCCUUUCCUCUCAGUCCUGGCGCACACAAGAUUUUGUUUGUGCCCUCCAAGUGUGAAGUCUCUAUUUCUCUCAGUCCUAUGGAAGUCCUGCAAUCAAAUCCUGUUGGCCUUCACAGUCAGAAUCCCUGGGGAUUCCUAGUCCCUUUGCUGGAUCCCCAGGCUAGGACACUCAGAACCAUCACAAGAGUGGGAGAACUUCUUUGAUAUUAGUGUUCUCCAGUUUGUGGGUUGCCUGCUAGGCGGGUAUGGGAUUUAACUUUAUCGUGAUUGUGCCCUCCCCCCACCAUCUCGUUGUAGCUUCUCCUUUGUCUUUAGAUGUGGGAUAUCUUUUUUUGGUGGGUUCCAGCAUCCUCCUGUCCAUGGUUGUUCAAAAGCUAGUUGGUGCUCUCACAGGAGAUGGGCACAUGUCCUUGUACCCUGCCAUCUUGAACCAGUCAACCCUGAAGACAAGACUAUAAGUGAGUGAUUAUAAACAGUGAUUGCAGAAACUGAUUCAUGAUGGAGUUUAAGAAGUAGCCAAAAAUGUCAAGAGUUGCAGAGAAGGGAAUAAGAACUGAGAAGAGAUGGUGUUCAUCUAGUGAUAUUUAUAGAAGCAGUUCAUGAAUAAGAACCUUGGAAUUCUUUCAUCUAUUUUAUGGGUCAACUUUGUAACUGAAUUUUAAGGUAAAUAAAGGAUUCCUUUAUCUGUAGGUAAUAAAUUCAAGAUGUGAUGCAAAUAUGUUUUUCUUUCAAAUGAUAAUGACUUUUUGAUUGUGCUAGUUUAAAAUCAUUUGAAGCAGAUGGAAUUAGGAAGCCUUUCCUUAUGUAAAUCCAAUUGUUCAUUCUUGCUUGCAUAAA
ensembl:lncRNA